rnacentral:rRNA from 1 species
GACGAACGCUGGCGGCGUGCUUAACACAUGCAAGUCGAACGGAAAGGCCCUGCUUUUGUGGGGUGCUCGAGUGGCGAACGGGUGAGUAACACGUGAGUAACCUGCCCUUGACUUUGGGAUAACUUCAGGAAACUGGGGCUAAUACCGGAUAGGAGCUCCUGCUGCAUGGUGGGGGUUGGAAAGUUUCGGCGGUUGGGGAUGGACUCGCGGCUUAUCAGCUUGUUGGUGGGGUAGUGGUUUACCAAGGCUUUGACGGGUAGCCGGCCUGAGAGGGUGACCAGCCACAUGGGGACUGAGGUACGGACCAGACUCCUACGGGAGGCAGCAGUGGAGAAUAUUGCGCAGUGGGCGGAAGCCUGAUGCAGCAACGCCGCGUGCGGGAAGACGGCCUUCGGGUUGUAAACCGCUUUCGCCUGUGACGAAGCGUUAGUGACGGUAAUGGGUAAAGAAGCACCGGCUAACUACGUG